rnacentral:rRNA from 1 species
AACGAACGCUGGCGGCAGGCUUAACACAUGCAAGUCGAACGCCCCGCAAGGGGAGUGGCAGACGGGUGAGUAACGCGUGGGAAUCUACCCAGAUCUACGGAACAACAGUUGGAAACGACUGCUAAUACCGUAUACGCCCUACGGGGGAAAGAUUUAUCGGAUUUGGAUGAGCCCGCGUAAGAUUAGCUAGUUGGUGGGGUAAUGGCCUACCAAGGCGACGAUCUUUAGCUGGUCUGAGAGGAUGAUCAGCCACACUGGGACUGAGACACGGCCCAGACUCCUACGGGAGGCAGCAGUUGGGAAUAUUGGACAAUGGGCCCAAGCCUGAUCCAGCCAUGCCGCGUGAGUGAUGAAGGCCUUAGAGUUGUAAAGCUCUUUCAGUAGGGAAGAUAAUGACGGUACCUACAGAAGAAGCCCCGGCUAACUUCGUGCCAGCAGCCGCUGUAACAC